AUGCCAUGGUACGGUACCUCGGACAUGGCUUUGAUCUUGAGGUUGACGCUGUUGGACAGGAUGACCAUGUUCUGGCCACUGCCUCUCAGCUUGUUGAAGAGGAGGGCGCAGUCGAGGAUACGGUCUUCGGUCUUCGGGGAAUCGAUGUCAGUGAGGCUUCUUGGGGAGAAGAUGCCAGUGAAGCUCCUUGGUGAUAAGAGGGCCAGCAUUGAGUUGAAGGCGCCGGCAGCGGUGGCUUCACUCUUUUCACUGUUGCGUUGCGUUUCUGUAGGAGUUGCAGGUGGGGUUGGUGCUACUGGCAACAUCUCGGAAGAACUCUGCACGUGGAUCCACCAGCUCUCGUUCUCCAUGCAAUCCUCGAUCCAUUGCAUUAUGGAGGUGGCCUUUGAUGACCUCUUGAACAUGCCCUCCCGCUGUUUCAUGCCUUCGAGCUCCCUCAUCACUGGCAAGACGAUAAACACAGGGUUUCAGGGGAUGAGAAUAGCACAUCAAGCACUCGCAGUCAAGUCAGUUCAGUUAAUAAUAACAACAAGCUGGGAAAGCAUAUUGAAUACAAGACACAAUAAGAUGUCAAAACCUGAAAGUUACAGAAGCUCAAUUCUUUAG
rnacentral:rRNA from 1 species